UACGAAGGGGGCUAGCGUUGCUCGGAAUUACUGGGCGUAAAGGGCGCGUAGGCGGUUCUAUAAGUCAGGCGUGAAAUUCCUGGGCUUAACCUGGGGGCUGCGCUUGAGACUGUGGGACCUGAGGUCAGAAGAGGGUCGUGGAAUUCCCAGUGUAGAGGUGAAAUUCGUAGAUAUUGGGAAGAACACCGGUGGCGAAGGCGGCGACCUGGUCUGAUACUGACGCUGAGGCGCGACAGCGUGGGGAGCAAACAGG
rnacentral:rRNA from 1 species